CCGUUGGUGGUGAAGUGGUUAUAACAUUGGAUUGGUGAUUCAAAGGAUGAUGGUUCAAACCCUCCUCCGGU
rfam:Daphnia pulex DAPPTscaffold_49_Cont2698, whole genome shotgun sequence.